CCGACCUCGACUCCCACGUUUUCUCAUCGAAGACGCGAACUCUGGCGACCGGAACCCUAGCCCACGACAAUGCACGGCGAGCAGAUACGCCGUGCGGCUCGCGAAGAUGUUUCCCCUCUAAGAUUGUGAGGCAAAGUCUAGACCUCCAAUGCCUGUUUUGGCUGUUGUCUUCCUACGGAAGGAACCAGAUUCAAUGGAGUCAAGUUCUUUUAGCAUUACACAGUCCAUGUGAGGAUCUGAUAGCAACCUCACAAACACAGAUGAGAAGCACAAUGUGGAUACAUAUGAAGCUUCCAUUCCAUCGAGUUACUAGCUUCGUAAUCCAUGUUUAUUUGCAUGGUGAGACUUCUUUACAUAAGA